GCGGUGGUCGUCUAGCCUGGUCCAGGACAGUAGCCUGCCACGCUACUAACUCGGGUUCAAAUCCCGGCCACCGCACCA
rnacentral:tRNA from 2 species